UACGAAGGGGGCUAGCGUUGCUCGGAAUCACUGGGCGUAAAGCGCACGUAGGCGGCUUUUUAAGUCAGGGGUGAAAUCCUGGAGCUCAACUCCAGAACUGCCUUUGAUACUGAGAAGCUUGAGUCCGGGAGAGGUGAGUGGAACUGCGAGUGUAGAGGUGAAAUUCGUAGAUAUUCGCAAGAACACCAGUGGCGAAGGCGGCUCACUGGCCCGGUACUGACGCUGAGGUGCGAAAGCUAGGGGAGCGAACAGG
rnacentral:rRNA from 1 species